CCAAGAAAAAUGAAUCAGCAACACGUACAGUGACCAGACGUGCACGUUUUAUAGGGACAGUCCUGAUAUUCAGGCCUUUGUCUUAUACAGGAAACUAUUACUUCUCACCCCGUCCUGAUUUUUCACACUUGCUAUCU